GACGAACGCUGGCGGCGUGCCUAAUACAUGCAAGUUGAGCGAUGAAGAUUGGUGCUUGCACCAAUUUGAAGAGCAGCGAACGGGUGAGUAACGCGUGGGGAAUCUGCCUUUGAGCGGGGGACAACAUUUGGAAACGAAUGCUAAUACCGCAUAACAACUUUAAACAUAAGUUUUAAGUUUGAAAGAUGCAAUUGCAUCACUCAAAGAUGAUCCCGCGUUGUAUUAGCUAGUUGGUGAGGUAAAGGCUCACCAAGGCGAUGAUACAUAGCCGACCUGAGAGGGUGAUCGGCCACAUUGGGACUGAGACACGGCCCAAACUCCUACGGGAGGCAGCAGUAGGGAAUCUUCGGCAAUGGACGAAAGUCUGACCGAGCAACGCCGCGUGAGUGAAGAAGGUUUUCGGAUCGUAAAACUCUGUUGGUAGAGAAGAACGUUGGUGAGAGUGGAAAGCUCAUCAAGUGACGGUAACUACCCAGAAAGGGACGGCUAACUACGG
rnacentral:rRNA from 1 species